CUCUCCCUUCAGAAUGAAAUGUCUCAUCUUGGCUGGCCUUCUGAGCGCUGUGUGUGCCCUGCCUAUCCCUCUUGACCAAUCUGGAGAAAGUUCCAGUGCACAGAGAUUUAACUUUUACCCACCACAAGUACCUGCAGUUUUUCCUCCAAUCCUACUUCCCCAGCCUCAACAACUGCCGCCCCU